rnacentral:tRNA from 1 species
GCCGACGUGGCGGAAUCGGCAGACGCGCCAGACUCAAAAUCUGGUACUCGCGAGAGUGUGUGGGUUCGACCCCCUCCGUCGGCACCA